CACACAUUAAAUUCAAGGGCUUUAUUGGCAUGGGAAACAUAUGUUAACAUUGCCAAAGCAAGUGAAGUAGUUAAUAAACAAUAGAAAUUAACAGUAAACAUUACACUCACAGAAGUUCAAAAAUAAUACCUCUAUACCUCCUCUAUACCUCCCCCACUUCCUCUUUCACUCUCUCAACCCCCCUCCGUCUGCUCUUCACUUGUUGCCUCCUUCCCUCCCAUAUGUGUGAAAGUCAGUCUGGCAGGGCGUUUCACUAUAAUGAUAGUUCUGUGACCUCCCAUGAUCCAGACAGGUUCUCUCUGCUAUGAACACAGCAGUUACUCCCUAGUUCACAGUAGCACACAUUCAACUUUUGCAGGUUUCAACCUCAUAGGACAAAUACAUUCAGUAAAAUACAAUGGCAGUUGAAAAAAAAAAAAAUGUCCUUCAAAUGUGAAACUCUGGACAAGCUGGAUGUUGGUUAAGGGCUUGUCAGUAAGCAUUUCACGGACCUGAGCCCUAGGACCAUGCCCCAGGACUACCUGACAUGAUGACUCCUUGCUGUCCCCAGUCCACCUGGCCAUGCUGCUGCUCCAGUUUCAACUGGCCUGGGCCCUAGGACCAUGUCCCAGGACUACCUGACAUGAUGACUCCUUGCUGUCCCCAGUCCACCUGGCCAUGCUGCUGCUCCAGUUUCAACUGUUCUGCCUUACUAUUAUUCAACCAUGCUGGUCAUUUAUGAACAUUUGAACAUCUUGGCCACGUUCUGUUAUAAUCUCCACCCGGCACAGCCAGAAGAGGACUGGCCACCCCACAUAUGCUCUCUCUAAUUCUCUCUUUCUUUCUCUCUCUCUCGGAGGACCUGAGCCCUAGGACCGUGCCCCAGGACUACCUGACAUGAUGACUCCUUGCUGUCCCCAGUCCACCUGACUGUGCUGCUGCUCCAGUUUCAACUGUUCUGCCUUAUUAUUAUUCGACCAUGCUGGUCAUUUAUGAACAUUUUAACAUCUUGGUCAUGUUCUGUUAUAAUCUCUACCCGGCACAGCCAGAAGAGGACUGGCCACCCCACAUAGCCUGGUUCCUCUCUAGGUUUCUUCCUAGGUUUUGGCCUUUCUAGGGAGUUUUUCCUAGCCACCGUGCUUUUACACCUGCAUUGUUUGCUGUUUGCAGUUUUAGGCUGGGUUUCUGUACAGCACUUUGAGAUAUCAGCUGAUGUACGAAGGGCUAUAUAAAUAAAUUUGAUUUGAUUUGA